rnacentral:lncRNA from 1 species
CAGGGGUGGCUUCAUAUGCUGUCAGCGUGCCGGUCACACAAGCAUAAAGUUACUUGUGCUCUUCUAGUUUACUUCCAGUUUUCGUGAUAUAUUUUUCUCGUACCAAAUAAAUUUUGCUUUGGGAUGGAAGGCCUCAGGAUUCUAUGGGAUACAUCGUCUCAGAGAAAUCUCUCCAUCGCAUAUACCUGCCUCGAAGAGCAACAAGCAAUGAUCCACAUAAUUUUUCAACUUCUUCUCGAGAGCAGGGAGAUGACCACAUGCACACACUAACGCAGACCGCUUCUUUCCGUGUGGUCAAAUAGCAAGCCCGUUGGCCCGCAGCCGCCGCCAGGGGAGCUGGAGCAUCCCCUACGUCACGGGGCAGCUGGGCACCUUUGCCGCGCUCGAAUUUGGUUGCAGGUGCUGCACUGGUGCGCCAUGGCCCAAGCAAGAGAGAGAGGCACAGGUGGAAAGCACGGCACCUCUCAAAAACAAUCAGCCAAACUCAUCAUCCCAUCCCAAUCCCUGACUUCCCUCUUCAACAAAUCUAAUGUUUCCUUGUUCAGCUCAUGAAAAGAAAAAGUUUUUUGGAUACCGUAGGACAGUUGUAUCUAUAGCAAUUAGUGUCUAAUCAUGCAUUAGUUAGGCUAAAAUAUUUGUCUCAUAAAAUACAUGCAAAUUGUGCAAUUAGUUAUUUUUUUAAUCAAUAUGC